AUUGAACGCUGGCGGCAGGCCUAACACAUGCAAGUCGAACGAGUGGCGGACGGGUGAGUAAUGUCUGGGAAACUGCCUGAUGGAGGGGGAUAACUACUGGAACCGGUAGCAAAUACCGCAUACCAUCGGAUGUGCCCAGGUGGGAUUAGGUAGUAGGUGGGGUAAAGGCUCACCUAGGCGACGAUCCCUAGCUGGUCUGAGAGGAUGACCAGCCACACGGGGACUGAGACACGGUCCAGACUCCUACGGGAGGCAGCAGUGGGGAAUAUUGCACAAUGGGCGCAAGCCUGAUGCAGCCAGGCCGCGUGUAUGAAGAAGGCCUUCGGAUUGUAAAGUACUGUCAGCGGGGAAGCGUUACCCGAAGAAGAAGCAACGGCUAACUCCGUGCCAGCAGCCGCGGUAAUAC
rnacentral:rRNA from 1 species